CUACCCAAAGUCAGUUUUAUUGGGGGGAGGUUUUUUAAUAACCUUUGCCAACUUGGGCUGUUUGGGAGAAUAAAUAUGACCACACACUCCACAGUGGGCUAUACAACUAAGUGUAGUUCAUUACUAUUUUGUGGCCUACAUU
rnacentral:snoRNA from 1 species